AGGAGAGAAUGAUUCUGGAACAUAGCCAUACAGCCUGGAAAAUGCACAGCAACCCUGUGCUGAAAGGGUCAUACUACAAAUAAAUUUGCCCAUGUGAUUAAGUCCCUAGACCAGUGUUUCUCAAACCGUGCUCCUCCAGGUGUCUUGGACUUCAGAUCCCAGAAAUUCCAGCCAGUUUACCAGCUGUUAGGAAUCGUGGGAGCUGAAGUCUAAAACAUCUGGAGGAGCACGGUUUGAGAAACUCUGCCCUAGACUAAUGCUCAAACUAUUACACCAUGCUCAUUCUCAUAAUGGGAAACACAGUCCUUCAAAUAGCCUGGACUCAGAACAGUAUAGGGCUUCAUCAGCAGUAUUGUGAAUGGCUGUCUUGAAGAAACAUUGGGAGAAUCUGGCCCAUGAGAUGCAUUAUGAGAAAAUGGGUUUUGUGCCUAUUAAAUGUCUGUUGUAUUAUUAUGAUGCGGUAUAUAUAAAACAAUCCACAUAAAUAUAAUUGGCUACUUAAGAGAAGCAAGACUGGUUUAUCAACAUCCAAAAGUCACACCAGAUUAAAACAGAAGUUAUUUUGAGGACACAGCUCCAGUACAAAUAUAUUGAGAUGAACAAAUUAUAUUAUGCAAGGAUUCACUUGCAAGACAGUUGAAGUUUGACUCAACAAGGAGAGCAAGGUAGUGUUUAUUGUUCUAUAAUAAACAUGUAGAUCUCUAGAAUUGAGUGUUUCAGAAUCCUUCUGAUUUCCAGGGGGUGGCGAGUAGGAAUGCACUUUAAACCACAAUUAUAUUUGAGAUAUGAACAAAGAAAACUUUUAAGAUUUCUUCUCUAUAUGGUUCAUGGAUACAAACAGACCACAAGGCACAGAUCUCUAAAUGAAAGGCAAAGGGAUUUUACCUGUACUCACAGACUUAGGGUGCAUCUAUGCUGUAGCAUUAAUGUAGUUUGACACGACUUUAACUGUCAUAGUUCAAUGCUAUGGAAUCCUGGUAGGUGUAGUUUUACAAGAUCUUUAGUCUUUGCUGCCAGAUAGCAUUGGUGUCAAACCAAACUACAACUGCCAGGAUUCCAUAGCUAUGUCAGUUAAACUUCAUUAUUCUACAGCAACUAGAGAAUAAAGUAUCCUGAACUGAUCUCCAACAAGGAAGAACAUACACUGAGGUGGAAGCUCAUUGUGGGAUUUACAAUCUUGGACUGGAUUUGUUAUACACUACCGAGAAAAGAGGAGCCCCCAUUGGCACAGCAGACAGGUAUUUGAGAAUCUGGAUUUCCUCUAGAAAAAAAAGGAAGUUGAUAAGAGAAAGCUACUAAAUAUACAGAAGCAUGCACAACUGGUCUACCUCAGAGAGCAAUUGUCCCGUCAUUUCCUUAUGACAAGUGAUUUCAGCUAACCACGAAAAAAGGGUUCGAGCCCGGCACGCUUCGCUACUUCCAGUGGGCCAGAUUCAAGAUACACACUGGGUUUGAAGGCAACAAACAGAAGUUUAUUCAGUCUGGCACAACACUUCGGAAUUGCAAAGUUUGAGAAAAGAAAAUAUAAAAUAAAUGCAUAUUUAAUACAUUUCUGUUCAGUUGUGUUUAAUCGGAAGGGAGGUCAAUUUCACUAUAAGCAGAAAGAACAAAUGCACAGUACAGUCAAGAUGAUUAAACCAAAUUCUUUCUGAAUUUUUGUGUGCAAGUCAAGGGAGAGUUAAGAAAUCUGAAGCUGAAAUCUGAAGCAGGUCAUUAGAAGGAUAGAGCAAAGUGUUUCACCCGUUCCUCUACAUUCCAAAUCCCCUUAAACACACACACAAUAUCAAAUUUAUGUGUGCUCAUAUCCACCGUCUGGUGUCAGGAAUGUUUAGCUGCUGCUUUUAAUCUCCUUUCCUUCAAGAGUCCUCAUGGUCAAACCCAGUGGAAUCAGAGGACAGACAUCUGCCUUGAUUUCCCUGGCUCUUGAUGACUGAGCAAAUACUAAUAAUCUCAGGAAAACUUAAUGUGGACUUUUAAGGGACCUCUUGAAUGGGCUGUAAUUUAGAGAACAAUCAGAAUGACUUUCACUAAAUGUUAGAGCUAUUUUGUGGGCACAACCUGUUAUUUCCUAUGGCUUUCGCCUUAUACUUUUAAAUUAAAUAUAUUGUGGUAUAUACUAUAGUACAAAAGUACAGUUUUCAUUGUGGGUUCUCAGCUGGACUCUCUAGUACCUACUAUAACAAAGUAUCUUUAUUGUUUGUGAAGUAAAUAUAACAGUCCAAGCAAGGUUAUAUAAUAAGUAUUUUUUCAUUGUAUAUAAUGUUUAUUUCAAACAUAGUUAUAGGCCCUAUCUACAUUGCCAUAUAAUGCAGGUUGAACUGCAUUAUAAUGGUCAGUGUAGACUCAUUGUCCGUUCCUGGAAGGUGUAGGACACAAAGAUAGGCUCACACAGCUGGUGGCUAUGGAAACUUUAUUGAAUCCGCCUUGCCAAGAUGACUGCAAAAGUUUCUACUGCCCCUCUUCCACUUUUCCCCUCAGUAUAUUGGGUUGUUGCCUCCCCCCCCCCACUUUCUUCCCCAUCCACACCUCCCUUUCCUUUUGUCCUUUCCCACGUUUGAAGACCAGACCCUGUCAUAAAUCAGCCUUCCCCGCCAAAUGGUCUCCUUCCUCUGUCCUCUUGUAGUGAGAUGCGAAAAGAACAGCUUUGAGGAUGCUGUUUUUUUUUGCAUCCUGACACUCAUAUAUUGCAGAUUGAAGUGCAUUGAACUAGAUUAUAUGUGUCUUCACUGCCAUAUAAUCCAGUUCAAUGCAGUUAAUCUGCUAUCUGAAACUGAAUUAUAUGAAAGUGUAAAUGGGUCCUCUGAUAGGUGACCUUAUCAUAGUUUUCCGGGUAGAAUUUGUUCACAGAAAAUUUGCUCUUGUUUUCCUCUGAGUCCCCAUCGGCAAAUGUGGAGAAGCAACUGUAGUUCUGUUAUUAUCCAGACCAAUAACUUUACAUGUUUGAAGUAGUGUCACUACAUAUCAAAACUAUUUUAUGUAUAACACUAACAUAUUUCUAUCUAUAUUAUAACCCUUUAUGCUUCUGUACUUGGGAUAUGGAGUCUCAAUAUUUAUUUAUUUAUUUAUUUAUUUAUUUAUUUAUUUACAGCAUUUAUAUUCUGCCCUUCUCACCUCAAAAGGGACUCCGGGUGGAUCACCGAACACAUAUAUGGCAAACAUUCAAUUCCGUUAUACAGACAACAGAUAGAGGUAUUUAUAGGCAUUUCCCUUCUUCGGUGUCCUGGAGAUUAUGCUUGAUUCCAGCGACAGGGAGGUGCUGUCGCUCCAUCCUCCAUGUUGAAGAACCCAUGAUCGCAAACUUCCUCCUUUCUUUAAUCACUGGCAAUUUCUGAUAUUUCCUUUUAAUGGUGUCGUAAAAUACCUCCCCGCUGAAGCAGUACCUAAUUUGUCUACUCAACGGCUGUUUUCAAACUUCUUAGGUGGGCAGUGAGCUGGGUUGAAAGUUGGGCACUCACCCCGACCCAGGCUUCAAACUGCCAAUCUUUCAACUGGUAAGAUUUAUUGCAGGUAGUGAUUAACUAGCUGUGCUAAAGCCCGGCCCUUUGGCUAUAGCAUGCAAUCUGUUGUGGUUCAGCCAGAUGAAGAAAUGGGAAUUAGGGUUUUAGGGCCUGGGAGAGUGCUAGAUGGUUCUGUAGAUGAGGAAAAGGAGGGGGUUUUAGCGCAAGAUGCUGUCUCUGAGACAGAGGUUGAAAAUGGAACGGUUUUGAAAUCCAACAGGCAAGGGGAGGACCUUUCACCCACAAGGAGUUUAGCAACCCAUGAUAACAUUAGCUCAUCCGAGGGAGCAGCUGGCUUAGACAGAGAUACCAGGCUGCUUCUGAGAAGGCAGAGAUUCAUAUGCAGGAAAUUGGAAAGAAUUUGUGAGAAAGAGAGUCAGAAGCAGGCCCCUCAAGGUCAAAAAAAGUGUUCAUGUUUUGCAGUCCUUAAAUCAAAGAGAGCUCCAUCGGGAUUUUAGAUCAAACAACGUCGCUAUCCAAGUGAAGAGGUCCUGUUUCAUUCCCAGUUCAGGCCUUAGUUCAAGACCCAAGAUUCAUGUCAUGUUUUGAUACUGGUUUUAUGGACAUACCUUUGGAUUCAAACUAAUUUUUUGCUCUUUGUUUUAUGGAUUUAUUUUGGGAUUCAUGUUCAUGUUUUAAUCCUUGUUUCCUGGAUUUACUCUCAUGUUGGAUUCUGGGGAUAACUGGAGCCGGGCUGUGGCGCUGCUGGUUAGUAGCCUGCUGCAAUAAAUCACUACUGACCGAGAGGUCGUGAGUUCAAAGUCCCAGUCGGAUUGAGUGCCCGAUUGUUAAAUAGCCCCAGCUCGUUGUUUACCUAAGCAACCCAAAAGACAGUUGCAUCUGUCAAGUAGGAAAAUUUAGGGACCACUUAUGCGGAGAGCCUAAUUUAACUAAUUUACAACACCAUAAAAAUAUCCAGCAGAGUGCAUGCCGGAUGAGGAAGUAAUCCAUCAAAAGGACUCAUUGUCACAGUGGAUGAUGAAGCAGCAGCUCCUUCUGUGGCCGGAAUCAAGCAUACCCUCACAAAGCCAGAAGCUGGAAAGUUAAAUAGCCUCUAUGUCUAUCUGUGUUGUUUGUCUAAUCGCAUUGAAUGUUUGCCAUAUAUAUGUACAUUGUAAUCCACCUUGAUUCCCCUUCGGGGUGAGAAGGGCGGAAUAUAAAUACUGUAAAUAAAUAAAUAAAUAAAUAAUUGUGUCUCUGAAACAGCUUGGAGUUGUUUGGAAUAUUGUCUUUGGAUUGUUUUCUAUUACCAGUUUGGUCUGUCUUAUUGACUGUGUGACUUGCUUCCUUUAUUAAUUUCUUAUUGUGUUUUCCCUUUUUAUAUGUGUUUUUAUUAAUAAACCUUUUUACUAUCA